rnacentral:rRNA from 1 species
AAACAUGUCUGAGAGGAUAUAUUUUUGGUUUAAUCUGCUCAAUGCUGUAAAUAGCUGCAGUAUUUUGACUGUACAAAGGUAGCAUAAUAAUUAGUUUUUUAAUUGAAAACUUGUAUGAAUGAUUGAAUGUAAUAUUUUUACUUACAUGUGAAUUUUAUUUUUAAGUAAAAAAUCUUAAAUCUAAAAGAGGGACGAGAAGACCCUAUAGAAUUUUAUAAAUUAAAGUGUUUGUUGGGGUGACGUAAAAAACUUAAUUUUCAUAUAAAUGUAUAAUGAUCCUAAGUUAGAUUUGAGAUUUAAUUACCUUAGGGAUAACAGCAUAAUUUUUAUUAAAAGAUCAAAUUUUAGAAAAAGAUUAUGACCUCGAUGUUGAAUUAGAUAUUAUUUAGGGGCAGGAUUUAAAUA